ACUGGGGAUAAUACUGGAUAGGCAAUUAUUCCUGUAAUGGUUUUUUGUUUAAAUGUUUUUUCGCCUAAGGAUGGGUCUGCGGCCGAUUAGGUAGUUGGUUAGGUAAUGGCUUACCAAGCCUUUGAUCGGUACGGGUUGUGAGAGCAAGAGCCCGGAGCUGGAAACUGAGACAAGGUUCCAGGCCCUACGGGGUGCAGCAGGCGCGAAACCUCCGCAAUGUGAGAAAUCGCGACGGGAGGAUCCCAAGUGCCAUUCUUAACGGGAUGGCUUUUCAUUAGUGUAAAGAGCUUUUGGAAUAAGAGCUGGGCAAGACCGGUGCC
rnacentral:rRNA from 1 species